AGUCCCGUGGGGUAGCGGCCAAUCCUUCGAGCUUCUGGGGCUCGAGACGGAAGUUCGAAUCUUCCCGGGACUA
rnacentral:tRNA from 2 species